rnacentral:lncRNA from 1 species
AUCUUUGUUAUUAAUUUCUGAUUUCAUUCCACCAAGUAGCUGGGAUUCUAGGCUUGCACCACCAUGCCUGGCUAAUUUUUGUAUUUUUAGUAGAGACAGGGUUUCACCAUGUUGGGUCAGGCUGGCUUCGAACUCCUGACCUCAAGUGAUCUGUCCACCUCUACCUCCCAAAGUGCUAGGAGGCUGGUCUCGAAAUCCUGACCUCAGGUGAUCUGCCCUCCCAAAGUGCUGGGAUUAUAGGUGUCAGCCAUCAUGCUCGGCCUGUUUUAAAUUUUAAAAUGCAUCUGUAAUUGUUUUUUAAACUGCAAAAAUGAAUUAAUUAAAUCAUAAUGGAAAUAAGAGUAUUGUAAUUUUCCUACCCAUUACAGUGGUGGUUGUACCAUUUUGCGCUCCCUCUAGCAUUGUAUGAGAGUUCCAGUCAUUUUAUAUCUUUGUCAGCACUUAUAUGAUCAGCCCUUUUAAUUUUAG